GACGAACGCUGGCGGCGUGCUUAACACAUGCAAGUCGAGCGGAGCGGCGAACGGGUGAGUAACGCGUGAGUAACUGCCCCCCUCUCUGGGAUAACAGUUGGCAACGGCUGCUUAUACCGGAUAGUGGGGGAUGACUCGCGUCCAAUCAGCUUGUUGGUGGGGUAGUGGCCGACCAAGGCGACGACUGGUAGCCGGCCUGUGAGGGCGACCGGCCACAAUGGGCUGAGAUAGGGCCCAGACUCGAAGGUGGGGCAGCAGUGGGGAACACGGCACAAGGAGGGAAACUGAGAUGAAGCAGCGCCGCGGGCGGAAAGUCGGCCUUCGGGUUGUAAACCGAUUUAAGCCAUGACGCGGUAGUGGCAGAAGAAGCACCGGCUAACUACGUGCCAGCAGCCGCGGUAAUAC
rnacentral:rRNA from 1 species